rnacentral:rRNA from 1 species
GACGAACGCUGGCGGCGUGCCUAAUACAUGCAAGUUGAGCGAUGAAGAUUGGUGCUUGCACCAAUUUGAAGAGCAGCGAACGGGUGAGUAACGCGUGGGGAAUCUGCCUUUGAGCGGGGGACAACAUUUGGAAACGAAUGCUAAUACCGCAUAACAACUUUAAACAUAAGUUUUAAGCUUGAAAGAUGCAAUUGCAUCACUCAAAGAUGAUCCUGCGUUGUAUUAGCUAGUUGGUGAGGUAAAGGCUCACCAAGGCGAUGAUACAUAGCCGACCUGAGAGGGUGAUCGGCCACAUUGGGACUGAGACACGGCCCAAACUCCUACGGGAGGCAGCAGUAGGGAAUCUUCGGCAAUGGACGAAAGUCUGACCGAGCAACGCCGCGGGAGUGAAGAAGGUUUUCGGAUCGUAAAACUCUGUUGGUAGAGAAGAACGUUGGUGAGAGUGGAAAGCUCAUCAAGUGACGGUAACUACCCAGAAAGGGACGGCUAACUACGUG